rnacentral:rRNA from 1 species
UACGUAGGGGGCAAGCGUUGUCCGGAUUUAUUGGGCGUAAAGAGCGUGUAGGCGGCCAGGUAGGUCAGCUGUGAAAACUCGAGGCUCAACCUCGAGACGCCGGUUGAAACCAUCUGGCUAGAGUCCGGAAGAGGAGAGUGGAAUUCCUGGUGUAGCGGUGAAAUGCGUAGAUAUCAAGAGGAACACCAGUGGCGAAGGCGAGUCCCUGGACAACUUCUGACGCUGAGGCACGAAAGCUAGGGGAGCAAACAGG